AGACAGACAGGUGAGAGAGAGAUGGGACAGACGGACAGGUGGGACAGACAGACAGACAGACAGACAGACAGGUGAGGCAGGCAAACAGGUGGGACAGACAGACAGGUGAGGCAGACAGGUGGGGCAGAUAGGUAGGACAGACAGACAUACAGGAGAGGCAGACAGGUGGGACAGACAGACGAGUGAGGCAGACAGGUAGGACAGACCGACAGGUGAGGCAGACAGGUGGGGCAGAUAGGUAGGACAGACAGACAUACAGGAGAGGCAGACAGGUGGGACAGACAGACAGGUGAGGCAGACAGGUAGGACAGACAGGUGAGGCAGACAGGUAGGACAGACAGACAGGUGGGACAGACAGGAGGGACAGACAUACAGGUGAGUCAGACAGGUAGGACAGACAGACAGGUGAGGCAGACAGACAGGUGAGGCAGACAGGUGGGACAGACAGGUGAGGCAGACAGGUGAGACAGACAGACAGACAGGUAGGACAGACAGACAGGUGGGACAGACAGACAGGUGAGACAGACAGGUGAGACAGACAGACAGGUGAGAGAAACAGACAGACAGGUGAGUCAGACAGACAGACAGACAGACAGACAGGUGAGACAGAGAGUUGAGAUAGACAGACAGGUGGGACAGACAGAGACAGACAGAGACAGACAGGUGGGACAGAGAGUUGAGAUAGACAGACAGGUGGGACAGACAGAGACAGACAGGUGAGGCAGACAGGUGGGACAGACAGACAGGUGAGACAGACAGACAGACAGGUGAGACAGAGAGGUGAGAUAGACAGACAGGUGGGACAGACCGACAGACAGGUGGGACAGACAGACAGACAGGUGGGAUAGAAAGACAGGUGGGACAGACAGACAGGUGAGACAGACAGACAGACAGGUG